rnacentral:rRNA from 1 species
AUUGAACGCUGGCAGCAUGCCGUACACAUGCAAGUCGAACGGCAGCACGGGGCAACCUGGUGGCGAGUGGCGAACGGGUGAGUAAUGCAUCGGAACGUACCUUUCAGUGGGGGAUAACGUAGCGAAAGUUACGCUAAUACCGCAUAUUCUGUGAGCAGGAAAGCAGGGGAUCGCAAGACCUUGCGCUGAUUGAGCGGCCGAUGUCAGAUUAGCUAGUUGGUGAGGUAAAGGCUCACCAAGGCGACGAUCUGUAGCGGGUCUGAGAGGAUGAUCCGCCACACUGGAACUGAGACACGGUCCAGACUCCUACGGGAGGCAGCAGUGGGGAAUUUUGGACAAUGGGGGCAACCCUGAUCCAGCCAUGCCGCGUGAGUGAAGAAGGCCUUCGGGUUGUAAAGCUCUUUCGGCCGGGAAGAAAUCGCACGGGCUAAUACCCUGUGUGGAUGACGGUACCGGAAUAAGAAGCACCGGCUAACUACGUGCCAGCAGCCGCAGUAACAC